rnacentral:lncRNA from 1 species
UUUUUUUCCUUUCUGCAGAAGGUGUAAAAAUAAACAAACACCUGAAUUACUUUGAUACUGUCCACUCACAGCUGACUCAGAUAAAACUCUUUAACUCACCUGUAGUUGUGAAGAUACCUCUUGUCCAUGUCAAUUAAGGACAAUCAAAACAAUACAAACCGGUUUUUUACCUGAGGGUGCAUCUCAUAGUUGUACCACAACUUAGUUAAUUUUCACACCUUCUGCAUGAAGGAAAAAAAAUGCCCAUCAAAAUCCAAAAGAGAUUUUAUCUUUCUGAAACUCAAAAUGCAUUUAACUUUAUUAUAUCUAGUGGAUGCCAGGCAUUAAAACUUUUCC